UACGUAGGGUGCAAGCGUUGUCCGGAAUUAUUGGGCGGAAAGAGCUUGUAGGCGGUUUGUCGCGUCUGCUGUGAAAUUUCGGGGCUCAACCCCGAAUUUGCAGUGGGUACGGGCAGACUAGAGUGUGGUAGGGGAGACUGGAAUUCCUGGUGUAGCGGUGAAAUGCGCAGAUAUCAGGAGGAACACCGAUGGCGAAGGCAGGUCUCUGGGCCAUAACUGACGCUGAGAAGCGAAAGCAUGGGGAGCGAACAGG
rnacentral:rRNA from 1 species